rnacentral:misc_RNA from 1 species
UGUGUAUCUGGCUCGCCAAACAGGAGCACUAGUCGUGAGAAUGCUUUCAGCUCUUCGUGGAUUAGUAACAUCGAAUAUUUUCACUGUACAAUCUUGGCUGGACGUUGCCAAUUGAUUUUGCUGAAUAGGGCACCAAUCGAGGCCAUUUGCCUUUGUCAAAUGAGCAGCUAUGUACUGCAUUGGACUAUUCCCUUUCCUCUGGUCCCAUAUUUUAAUAUCACCAUCAUGGGCAGUAGCCAGAAUAUGUUGUGAAAGACAGUUCCAUCUGACUUGUG